rnacentral:rRNA from 1 species
AGUCACUGACAUUAGAUACCCGCGUAGUCCAGGGUGUAAACGCUGCAGACUUGGUGUUGGAGGCCCUUUGGGGGCAUUCAGUGCCGGAGAGAAGUUGUUAAGUCUGCUACUUGGGGAGUACGUCCGCAAGGAUGAAACUUAAAGGAAUUGGCGGGGGAGCACCGCAACGGGAGGAGCGUGCGGUUUAAUUGGAUUCAACACCGUAAACCCACCAGGGAAGACUGUUACAUGAAGGCCGAGAUGAAGACUCUGCUAGAUUUUCAG